rnacentral:rRNA from 1 species
GACGAACGCUGGCGGCGUGCUUAACACAUGCAAGUCGAACGGAAAGGCCCUGCUCUUGUGGGUUGCUCGAUUGGCGAACGGGUGAGUAACACGUGAGUAACCUCCCCUUGUCUUUGUGAUAACUUCAGGAAACUGGGGCUAAUACCGGAUAGGAGCUCCUGCUGCAUGGUGGGGGUUGGAAAGUUUCGGCGGUUGGGGAUGGACUCGCGGCUUAUCAGCUUGUUGGUGGGGUAGUGGCUUACCAAGGCUUUGACGGGUAGCCGGCCUGAGAGGGUGACCGGCCACAUUGGGACUGAGAUACGGCCCAGACGCCUACGGGAGGCAGCAGGGGGGAAUAUUGCGCAGUGGGCGGAAGCCUGAUGCAGCAACGCCGCGUGCGGAAUGACGGCUUUCGGGUUGUAAACCACUUUCGCAUGUGACGAAGAGUGAGUGACGGUAAUGGGUAAAGAAGCACCGGCUAACUACGUG